ACAUGCUUUCUUGGUGACCAUCAGAGGCUCUUGGUGCAGGGAGCUGAUGAAGACAGUAGGCUCGGGACAAAACUGAUUUAACUAGAGGAUGAAGGAACCUAGUCUGUGUGGAGGAGGCAGCAAGGCGCAUCAGUACCACUUCUGGGAGCCACCUCUGCAGCAACUCUUCCUCAGCCACCCAGGAGCAAAUGCAAACAGGUGGCCCAUGACCAGAUCCUUUGAGUAUAUAUUAUGGAUUCCAGUUUAAUGUUUUUAUAGGAUCCCUGAGUGUGCAGACAAAUGCCUGUUUGUUUUCUAAUGAGAGACAGAAAUGGAAUAGAUCCAGAUGGGAAGUGAGGU